CCUACGGGAGGCAGCAGUAGGGAAUAUUGGGCAAUGGACGAAAGUCUGACCCAGCCAUGCCGCGUGCAGGAUGAAGGCCCUCUGGGUUGUAAACUGCUUUUGACAGGGAAGAAAUACACCAUGCGUGGUGGGCUGACGGUACCUGUAGAAUAAGCACCGGCUAACUCCGUGCCAGCAGCCGCGGUAAUACGGAGGGUGCAAGCGUUGUCCGGAUUUAUUGGGUUUAAAGGGUGCGUAGGCGGUUUUGUAAGUCAGUGGUGAAAGCUAGCAGCUUAACUGUUAAACUGCCAUUGAUACUGCAAAGCUUGAGUUCAGAUGAGGUAGGCGGAAUUUAUAGUGUAGCGGUGAAAUGCUUAGAUACUAUAAAGAACUCCGAUAGCGUAGGCAGCUUACUAAACUGAUACUGACGCUGAGGCACGAAAGUGUGGGGAUCAAACAGGAUUAGAUACCCUGGUAGUCCACACUGUAAACGAUGAUUACUCGUUGUUGGCGAUAUUACAGCCAGCGACUUAGGGAAACCGUUAAGUAAUCCACCUGGGGAGUACGUUCGCAAGGAUUGAAACUUAAAGGAAUUGACGG
rnacentral:rRNA from 1 species